UACAGAGGGUGCAAGCGUUAAUCGGAGUUACUGGGCGUAAAGGGCGCGUAGGUGGAUGUUUAAGUCGGUUGUGAAAUCCCCGGGCUUAACCUGGGAAUUGCAAUUGAUACUGAAUGUCUAGAGUAUGGUAGAGGAAAGUGGAAUUCCCAGUGUAGCGGUAAAAUGCGUAGAUAUUGGGAAGAACACCAGUGCGAAGGCGACUUUCUGGACCAAUACUGACACUGAGGCGCGAAAGCGUGGGGAGCAAACAGG
rnacentral:rRNA from 1 species